rnacentral:rRNA from 1 species
AUGCAGGCAGUGAAACCUUGCAUCACUACUGAGAUGAAUAGCCUUCUCACCGCACCGUAUUCCAGAGAGGAGAUGCAGAAGGCUCUGUUCCAGAUUGGGGAUAUGAAGGCGCCUGGGCCCGAUGGCCUUCAUGCGAUUUCCUUCAAGCGAUUCUGGCAUAUAAUAGGAGAAGAGCUGACCGAUGAAGUACUUGUUGCAGUAAAUAACAAGAAAAUACCAGAAGGAUGGAAUCAAACAAACAUUGUUCUAAUCCCCAAAGUUGACAGUCCAGAGGUAAUUACUCAGUUUAGACCCAUUAGCUUGUGUAAUGUGGUUUAUGAAAUCAUCUCCAAGAUGCUAGCUAACAGGCUGAAAAAAAUACUACCGGAUGUGAUAUCGCCAACACAAAGCGCCUUUGUUCCGGGUAGGCUAAUCACAGUUAAUGUGUUGGUGGCUUAUGAGUGUUUCCGUCCUAUAAAAAAGAAAACCCAUGGAUCCAAUGGUUAUUGUGCAGUUAAGCUUGAUAUGCUCAAGGCCUAUGAUCAAGUGGAAUGGGAUUUUCUGAAACAAAUUAUGAUUAAGAUGGGCUUUCAAAUGGAGUGGGUGGAUCUGAUCAUGGAGUGUGUCUCUUCUGUGAGCUAUAGAGUGAUAUUUAAUGAUACUGAGACUGAUGAGUUCUUUCCCACUAGAGGACUGAGACAGGGGGAUCCACUAUCCCCAUACUUAUUUCUCUUAUGCUCAGAAGGUUUAUCCUGUAUGCUAGCCCAUGAAGAAGAGAUUAGGGGAAUUGAAGGUAUACUUGUUUGCAGGAAUGCACCAUCUAUCUCACAUUUGCUGUUUGCAGAUGACUCUUUGAUACUUAUGAGGGCUAAUAAUCAGAAUGCUACUACUCUGAAAAGAGUGCUGGACACAUAUUGUAGUAGCUCAGGACAAAGAGUCUGCACUCCUAAAUCCAGUAUCUUCUUUAGCCCAAAUACUAGUGUGCUUGUCAGAGAAGAUGUUUGCAGAAUCCUUGAUAUUGUGACAGAAGCUCUUUCUGACAAGUAUUUAGGUGUACCAACAAUGGUUGAAGUGGACCGAAGUGAUUGCUUUCAGCACUUGAUUGAUAGAAUAUGCCAGCGAUUAAAGGGAUGGAAGGAGAAAGUUUUAUCUAUACAAGGAUUUUGGUGGGGAGAUACGGAGGACAAACGGAAGAUGCAUUGGCACGCAUGGUGGAAGAUGUGUAUCCCAAAGCAGAAAGGAGGUAUGGGGUUUAGGGACCUUCACAGUUUUAAUCUUGCUAUGUUAGCAAAACAGUGUCGGCGACUGCUCCAGAACCCAGACUCUUUGUGUGUAUGUGUUCUUAGUGCAAAAUAUUAUCGAAAUGGCGACAUUUUGAGUGCAGGUCCAAAAAAGGGAUCAUCAUAUACUUGGCAGAGUAUUGUCAGUGGUAUGCAAACUUUUAAAAGGGGUUGCAUAUGGCGUGUUGGCAUGGGAUCUAAAAUUGACAUCUAG